rnacentral:rRNA from 1 species
AUUGAACGCUGGCGGCAGGCCUAACACAUGCAAGUCGAGCGAGCGGCGGACGGGUGAGUAAUGUAUGGGGACUGCCCGAUAGAGGGGGAUAACUACUGGAAACGGUGGCUAAUACCGCAUACUAUCGGAUAACCCAUAUGGGAUUAGCUAGUCGGUGGGUUAAAGGUUCACCUAGGCGACGCUCUCUAGCUGGUCUGAGAGGAUGAUCAGCAACACUGGGACUGAGACACGGCCCAGACUCCUACGGAGGCAGCAGUGGGGAAUAUUGCACAAUGGGCUCAAGCCUGAUGCAGCCAUGCCGCGUGUGUGAAGAAGGCUUUAGGGUUGUAAAUUACUUUCAGCGGUGAGGCGUUACCCGCCGAAGAAGCCCCGGCUAACUCCGUGCCAGCCGCCGCGGUAAUUC